GACGAACGCUGGCGGCGUGCUUAACACAUGCAAGUCGAGCGGUAAGGCCCUUUCGGGGGUACACGAGCGGCGAACGGGUGAGUAACACGUGGGUGACCUGCCCUUAGCUCUGGGAUAAGCCUGGGAAACUGGGUCUAAUACCGGAUAUGACUCCAUGACGCAUGUUGUGGGGUGGAAAGCCUUGUGCGGCUAGGGAUGGGCCCGCGGCCUAUCAGCUUGUUGGUGGGGUGAUGGCCUACCAAGGCGACGACGGGUAGCCGGCCUGAGAGGGCGACCGGCCACACUGGGACUGAGACACGGCCCAGACUCCUACGGGAGGCAGCAGUGGGGAAUCUUGCGCAAUGGGCGAAAGCCUGACGCAGCGACGCCGCGUGAGGAUGACG
rnacentral:rRNA from 1 species